AUAUUAUUCAUUCCUUGCCAGACCCUGAGUGUGUCCAAAUGAAGCUUUUGAUGAUGCAUAAUGAAAACAUAAAAGCUUUUAGUGACAUAUUACAUCAUCUUGAGCUAGAGGUGGAAUGCUUGGAAGUGAACCGUACUAUUGUUCUUGCCACCCAAUCUGGGAGACGUGGCCUUUGAGGCCUAAUCGCAAAAAUAAAGGCA
rnacentral:lncRNA from 1 species